AAGAUCAUGGACCAUUUUAACUAUAGAGACCCUGAUUACAAGCCAAUUUUAAAUAUUAUAGAUAGAAUAUGGGGCAGCCAAAUGUCAUCUCCAUUGUAUUCAGCUGCUUACAUCCUUAACCCAGCCUGUUUAUUCGCUUUUGUUGAUCCAGCAAAAGCACUAACUAUGCAUAUGGUUGGAUUUAUUUAUGUCUUGAAAAGAAUGAUUCCAGAUAGAGGAGAACAGGACAAGAUCUCAAUUUUGCUGGACUUCUAUGCAAAAAGUGAGGGGAUAUUCUCAAGAGAUAUCAUAAUAAGGCAUCGGACAAUGAAAUUACCCAUUGACUGGUAGGCUGCCUAUGGAGUAGACCCGAACAGGAAGGAUCCAGCUCUAAAGAAGCUGGCUAUGAGGAUUCUUGGACUCACGUGUUCUGCCAAUGGUUGCGAGCGCAAUUGGAGCACGUUCGAGGCAAUUCAUACCAAGAAAAGGAAUCGCCUUAAGUAAAAAAAGCUCAACAACUUGUUUUUCGUUCAAUACAAUCAAAAAUUGCGAGAACGAUUCCAAACUAGGAAAGAAAAGCUCGGUUUCUUUGACCCUAUCUGCUUAGAUGAGUUGGAUACAGAUAACAAGUGGCUUGUAGAGACCAAGGACCCGAUAUUUGCUAGAGAGGACCUGACAUGGGCACAAGUUAAAGAUGUCGCAUACAGAUCGACACCUGGUGAAGGUAGUACCACUCGAAGGUGAAGGAUGGGGAGAGCCGGGGGGCGAGUAGUAGCCGUCAACUCGUUAAAGAGAUUGAGGAGAUGAUGAUAAUGAUGAUCAAGCUGAAAAUCAUCUACCAUUGGAUGUUGAUGAAGUAUUAGUACGUAUAGAUGAUGAAGAAAUGGAAGAAGAAGUGUAUGUGGAAGAAGGAGAUAACUCGAAUAAUGAUGAUGAUGGUGGUGGUAGUGGUGGUGGACCUGGUAGUGAUAUGUCACAAUGGCAACUACAUCAAUGUAUAUAGUAUAUGAUUAGAUGAAUAAUAAAUAAAUAACUUCUUCAUUUUGUUUACUAAGUGUAUUGAUGUUGAUUGUUGAUGUAUAUGUAGUGUUGAACGUUGAAUGUUGAUAUUUCAUAUUUGUUACUUAAAUGUUAAGUUAACCAUAUUGUAUAAUGCAGAAUUGUUGAUGAAUGAUGACUUAAUAUUUAAUUCAUUAUGUAAUUGAUUUUAUUUUACUUAAAUUAAAUGUAUUUCAAGGGCCAAUGACAGGAUAAUUUAUUCACUUUUUUCUUAAUUUAUCCCUAUUUUUCUGAUUUUUUUGUUAAUUUUUUGAAAAAUGUUUUUUAAAAAAUUAUA